AACAGCCCUAAAAAUGCCCUUCAGUCAAGAAGUGGCCGUCCAGUCUCCAAGUUCAGGCUGUUGUAUAAUUCUCCUUCUCUCUCCCUCAUUUAUUCUUUUCUUUCUUUUCCUCUUUCCUCUUACUCUAACUUCCUAGGUGGCACAGUGGUAAAGAAGCCACCUGCAAAUACAGGAGACACAAGAGACAGGGGUUUGAUCCCUGGGUCGGGAAGAUCCCCUGGAGGAGUAAGUGUCGACCCUCUCCAGUAUUCUUGCCUGAGAAAUCCCAUGGACAGAGGAGACUGGCAGGCUAUCGUCCAUAGCGUCUCAAAGAGUCAGACACGACUGAAGCAACUUCGCAUGCACACACACUCUAGCAGCUUAGCUUUGGGGCUAGCACACUGUCGUUUCCACUGACAUGGCAUCAUUUCAAAACAAGCCUCCAGGUCAAGCCCAACAUCAAAGAUGAAGAAUCGCUGCACCUGCGAUGAGGCCAUGGCAGAAUGUGGGUACUAGGAAGGCUGGAGAGAAAUAUAAUCUACUGCUGCUGCUGCUAAGUCACUUCAGUCAUGUCCGACUCUGUGCGACCCCAGAGACAGCAGCCCACCAGGCUCCCCCAUCCCUGGGAUUCUCCAGGCGAGAGUACUGGAGUGGGGUGCCAUUGUCUUCUCCAUAAUCUACUGCAGUCUUGAGUAAAGUUUUGUCAAUGUAUCUUUGAAAUACAUUCCUAGAAGUGGGAUAACUGGGAUACAGAUUAAGUACACGUGUAAUUUUUCUAAAUAUCACCAAAUUCUCCUUCAUAGUACUUUAAACAUUAAAAACAAAAUCAAGAAUCAAUAUAUGAUGUUGUUGGGACUUCCCUGGUGGUCUGGUGGCUAAGACUCUGUGCACCCAGUGCUGGGGGGCCUGGCUUGGGUUCUGUCCCUGGUCAGGGAACUAGAUCCCACAUGCGGCAACUAAAGAUUCCACAGGCUAAAAAAAAAGUAAAAAAAACACAACUAAAAAAAAAGGUUCUGCAUGCUGUGAGUAAGACCCAACACAGCCA
rnacentral:lncRNA from 1 species